GACGAACGCUGGCGGCGUGCUUAAACACAUGCAAGUCGAGCGGUAAGGCCCUUUCUGGGGGUACACGAGCGGCGAACGGGUGAGUAACACGUGGGUGACCUGCCCUCAGCUCUGGGAUAAGCCUGGGAAACUGGGUCUAAUACCGGAUAUGACUCCAUGACGCAUGUUGUGGGGUGGAAAGCCUUGUGCGGCUGAGGAUGGGCCCGCGGCCUAUCAGCUUGUUGGGGGGUGAUGGCCUACCAAGGCGACGACGGGUAGCCGGCCUGAGAGGGCGACCGGCCACACUGGGACUGAGACACGGCCCAGACUCCUACGGGAGGCAGCAGUGGGGAAUCUUGCGCAAUGGGCGAAAGCCUGACGCAGCGACGCCGCGUGAGGGAU
rnacentral:rRNA from 1 species